UCCAGACUCCUACGGGAGGCAGCAGUGGGGAAUAUUGCACAAUGGGGGGAACCCUGAUGCAGCGACGCCGCGUGGGUGAAGGAGUAUUUCGGUAUGUAAAGCCCUAUCAGCAGGGAAGAACAAUGACGGUACCUGACUAAGAAGCACCGGCUAAAUACGUGUCAGCAGCCGCGGUAAUACGUAUGGUGCAAGCGUUAUCCGGAUUUACUGGGUGUAAAGGGGGCGCAGACGGCGAUGCAAGCCAGGAGUGAAAGCCCGGGGCCCAACCCCGGGACUGCUCUUGGAACUGCGUGGCUGGAGUGCAGGAGGGGCAGGCGGAAUUCCUGGUGUAGCGGUGAAAUGCGUAGAUAUCAGGAGGAACACCGGUGGCGAAGGCGGCCUGCUGGACUGCAACUGACGUUGAGGCCCGAAAGCGUGGGGAGCAAACAGGAUUAGAUACCCGAGUA
rnacentral:rRNA from 1 species